ensembl:snoRNA
AUGCACAGUUCAUUGUCCUGCUCUUCACUUGUUAAGAGUUGUGAUAUUUCUGUUGUGCUAGAAAAAGCUGGAGGUAAAUUAGCAGAAUGGCUACUUGGUGCCGUCUCUGCCAGUCCCCUUCACACAUUU